GAAGCUUGCUUCUAUGACGUUAGCGGCGGACGGGUGAGUAACACGUGGGCAACCUGCCUGUAAGACUGGGAUAACUUCGGGAAACCGAAGCUAAUACCGGAUAGGAUCUUCUCCUUCAUGGGAGAUGAUUGAAAGAUGGUUUCGGCUAUCACUUACAGAUGGGCCCGCGGUGCAUUAGCUAGUUGGUGAGGUAACGGCUCACCAAGGCAACGAUGCAUAGCCGACCUGAGAGGGUGAUCGGCCACACUGGGACUGAGACACGGCCCAGACUCCUACGGGAGGCAGCAGUAGGGAAUCUUCCGCAAUGGACGAAAGUCUGACGGAGCAACGCCGCGUGAGUGAUGAAGGCUUUCGGGUCGUAAAACUCUGUUGUUAGGGAAGAACAAGUACGAGAGUAACUGCUCGUACCUUGACGGUACCUAACCAGAAAGCCACGGCUAACUACGUGCCAGCAGCCGCGGUAAUACGUAGGUGGCAAGCGUUAUCCGGAAUUAUUGGGCGUAAAGCGCGCGCAGGCGGUUUCUUAAGUCUGAUGUGAAAGCCCACGGCUCAACCGUGGAGGGUCAUUGGAAACUGGGGAACUUGAGUGCAGAAGAGAAAAGCGGAAUUCCACGUGUAGCGGUGAAAUGCGUAGAGAUGUGGAGGAACACCAGUGGCGAAGGCGGCUUUUUUGGUCUGU
rnacentral:rRNA from 2 species